rnacentral:sRNA from 1 species
UCCGGCCCAGCCAUGGCGGACGAGGCCCCGCGGAAGGGCAGCUUCUCGGCGCUCGUGGGCCGCACCAACGGCCUCACCAAGCCCGCGGCCCUGGCCGCCGCGCCCGCCAAGCCGGGGGGCGCGGGCGGCUCCAAGAAGCUGGUCAUCAAGAACUUCCGAGACAGACCCCGGCUGCCCGACAACUACACGCAGGACACGUGGCGGAAGCUGCACGAGGCGGUGCGGGCCGUGCAGAGCAGCACCUCCAUCAGGUACAACCUCGAGGAGCUCUACCAGGCUGUGGAAAAUCUCUGUUCUCACAAAGUCUCCCCAAUGCUCUACAAGCAACUGCGUCAGGCCUGUGAAGACCACGUCCAGGCACAGAUCCUUCCGUUUAGAGAACCAUCUGCAUUGGCUUUCUGUGAUAGGCAACAAAGUCCCAUCGACUUGGCGACUUAUGGAGACACCCACUUAUCAGCUCACAGUUGUGUCUGUCAGGAGGCCAGGCAGGAUUCAGUGGAUUCUAUGCUCAGUCUCACGGGCAGAGUCAAGGUGUCAGCCAGGUUGGGGCCUCACCUGAGGUCUUUGCUAGCACGGGCAGGCAGUCGGCGGAAGCCAGUUCCUGUGGUAGUGGGACUGAGGGCCCUGCCUUCUGUCCCGUGUUGCUUGGUGUCACUCUCAGCUCCACAUGCACAGGUCCUUGCCUCUCCUCUCACAGCACGACUCUUUUCUGCUUCUAGACCAGCAGGAGAAUCUGCCUGUCUGACCUGCUGAGAUAGGGCCUUAUAUGAUGUAACCCGUAACCCAGUCAAGGAAUGAUGACCUUCGUAUUCACAGCCUCGUUCACAGUUGGAUGUGAGGCAUCCUCCACGUGGGGACAGGGCAGG